UUGUCUUUAUAAAAAAAAGUGAAAUUGAUUAAAAAAUGUGCUUAAAAUAUUAGAUAUCUUAUAUUAAUUAAAACAUAUAAAUUUUUGUUUAAAAAAUAAACAGUUACGCUGUGAAACCCCUACACGGUUUCUAUUAUAGGAUUAUAUACUAUUUAUUCUUCCACUCUUAAACAAGAUAUUUAUAAUUCUCCAACCAAAUCACACCUAUCUAUUAGUUUAAGAAAAAUUUCAUUCAUGUACAAUGAAUAACUCUAUAAUCAAAUAAUCUAUUCAACUAUCACCCUACACAUAGAAGUUCUAAUACUACUCUAAUACUGUAAGUGUACUACUAUGUCUCAUCGUGAUUGAUAACGUUUUGCUACUUCGAAGCCCGGUGCUCUGUUGUUAAGCUCUACAUUUUCGGUUCCCAUCUCAAAGCAUCUGAAAUGAGAGUAAUGAAUAUGCAUAACCUAAUAAGAUGAAAUUUGGAACUGAAACUAAUGAAUAACAAUUAAAUGACCUCCCUCCUUACUAUCAUUUUCCUUAUUUCUAUCAUUUAGUUUUUCUCCCUUGAUAAUUAUUAAAAAACGACACUACUCCCUCCUAAUCCCACCUAACUCCUUACCGUUAGCUCUUUGUUCUCUCAACCACAUAACGGACCCGCACUCUAUCCCUUUUGUUUUAACCACAACACCUUACCAACUUGACGCCAUUCCGAUAGUCCUUAUACCACACCCAUACACCCUCUCAACAAACAUCGAUCCACCAAGACCACACACGCACACCCUCGCUGCCUCCUGGGGCCCCACCCCAACAGCAAACACAAUCCUCGUAUCAACCGUUACAUGGCCCCCUGCACUAUCGCACCACAACGUCAAAUACACACCGUAAUUCUCGCAACAACUACCACUAAAUGGCCCCACUGAACUCCACCAACGUUGGCCACAUGGCCUCCCACACAACUGACUAGGGGAGUGCCUCAUUGACCACGGAGUGGCCAUAAAUACAACAUGCUACUACUCCUCAUAUCGACAUAUCCAUGUUUGCAAGCAUUGGCCAAAGGCCUUAGACACAACUUACACACAUGCACACACAAUGUGCCACUGAUUUCUACACCCCUAUACCAGAAUCCACAAACACCGGCCAAGAGGCCUCCCACACCUAAAUACCAAUACAUACACACACCACAGAGUGCCCAAUGUCCCUACUGUAUCAUGUAAACCUCACUCCACCUACAACUUCACACAUAUGGCCCAGGAACCACCAUCCCUACACAACAGAAGGUGCCGCCCUCGGUAAGUAACCCUACACACAAACAACUAAACCUACACUCGCCACCAAUCAUCCGUAUACUUAUACCUAUACAACAAUGCAUCUCACUCUCACAGUUACCUCACCCCUCGGUUACACACUACUCAUCAUCCACAAGCUCCGUUCCUGUCCUCAUGACACCUCCAGUUCACUCCUCUCCCUCAUACAAUCGACUGCCCACACGUACACUCCUCUUUAUAGCUUCCUCCCUCUCCUUUCUCAAACCUCGGCUAUUCUUGCAUUUCCUCAGCUAAUAUCGCACCUCGACUUCCAUCUUCUUGACGAUGAGCAUCACCAUUAACCUGCACACCCAAUCUCGCAGAGGUUUGCCCUAAAUUAGUUUAGAAACUCCAAAUUUCUCUUACCUCUUGCUUCUCUCCAUCUCUAUCUUCCAAAGGUACCGCGACUUCCCCUUUUUCCCAAACUUUCGAGUAGUUCUCCUUCCACACUCGCCUCCGAUUACUGCCUCUCUCGCAAUCGUCUCUCUCUCUCACUCCUGCACUCUCUAUUUUCCCUUUUUUUUCUUUCUUCUCCUUCCUCCAUCUCUUUACCUGACACCCCCUUUUUACACCUAUCUCAACUCCACAUCACAACCACUGAUUUCUCCCAUCUCAUUCUAAUCGUUCAUCUCACCCUCCCUCACAGAUCUAGGCUAUUACAUGCACGUUUAGAUAAAAUGUUUAUGGUAAAAUAUUAAUUAUUACUUUUAAAGGUUCUACUAUUGUGGCAUUCUUUCUAAUAAUAAUAUAUUUAUAAAUGUGUCCCGUGUUACCUUUAUUCAUAUAUAUAUAUAUAUAUAUAUAUAUUACAGUAGCGUAGAAUUAAAAGAAAAGGUAUUUUCAAGAGAAAAUUUAUUAAAAGAAAUUCCACAAUAACAUGUUUUCAAAAAAUAAAAUAAUAUUUUGGAAAAUAUUCAUGUGUCCUGAUAUAGUUUCUAUAUAAAGAGAUUUUUUUUUUUAUAUUUUGAGAGGAUUUUCUCAAGUUCACAGCUGAUUUUUAGUGAGAUUUUGUUUUAUUUCAUGAGAUUUGACUCUAUCUAAUAAAAUAAACUCAUGAUUUGUCAAAAAAAUUAUAAAUUUUACCUAUAAAUAUUAGUAUGUGCUGUAUAAAAAAUUGUAGCUACAAUUCUUAAUAUCAAAAAACAAAUCAAUAAGCAAGAGCUAUGAAGGUUUCAUACAAAUCAACAAUCUUUGUUAUGCUUCUAAUCAUCAUUUUUUGUAAGUAUUUCUUUUUUUUUUCCUUUCAUAAUAAUAAUAAAUUUUAACGUGCAUUAAAAAAAUUAUUUUUCAAUAUACAUAUAAUACAUGUCAGAGCUCAAUUUAUUGAUAAAUAAGUAUUUACUUAUGAUUUCAAACAUUCAUGAUCUAGAUAUAAAUGAGUCGAAUUAUUUAUCACACGGUCUAUUAGUGAACUCUCUUUUUAGGAAUUGUGAAAUAUGUUCCAACAGAAAUAUUAUUAUUAUUGUUUGGAUUCAUAUUUUCAAAAAAGUAGAUCUCGCUCUAAUAGUCCCGAAUAUUAUGUUCGAAAAUUAAUUUUCCCAGUACAAGGGCACAUAAAAUUUUCUUAUGAAUUCUUUUGUUUUAAUGCUAAAAUUUGAAAAUUAAUAUAAUAAAUUUAGGAUUAUUUUGAUUGAAUGAGUAAUUUAAUAGUGAAAGUUAAUAGUAUAUUUUAUUUUGAAGGUAUGGUGAAGGAAACAGAAGGAAGACGUGUGAGUAGAAUAAUCAAGUGCAAGAAAGAUGGAGAUUGUGAUAAUGCUUGCGAAAGGUGCGUCUGUGUUUGUAGAGACCAGCUUUGUGUAUGUCCAUAUUCCACCAUCACCUCCCAAUCUCAAUCUACCAAUCACACCAUUAUUAAUACAACAUUUAUAUAAAAUGUAAUUACCAAAAAUAUUAUUGGUAUUAAUCAAUAAUAUUUUAUUAGAAUAAUAACUCAAUAAAAUUAAAUGUUUUAAUUCUCUUUUUCUUUUUCUUUUCCUUUUAUUUAUUUUUACAAUAAUAAAUCUAAUAUAAACAUAUACCCUAAUGCAACAAAUAAUUUUUUUUUUUUUUGCUUAUUACAAUCUUAAUACUAAAUUAUUUACAAAAUGAAAACAAAUCCAACUACAAUUUUUAUUAUUAGAUAAACAAUUAUAUUCUUUUUUUAAUAAUAAAUCAAAAUAAAUAAAUAAAUACCCAUCUCAAUUCCUGUUGUGGAAUAUAUCUAUAAUAACCAAUAAGUUGUACUAUAUAUAUAAUAUGCUUAUGGGUAUUAAAAUUGAAUUAAUUUUUUCAUUUUUUAUAAUUUUAUCAAUUAAAAUUAUGUUUUUAUUUUUAAUAUGAGUGUAACGGUCCAAGAAUUCUUAGGAAAACUCAUUUAUUAACUAUCUCUUCUUUUUCAACUGUUAUUCACCAUACAAUAGAUGGUGCACAAUUUCCGUCUCAAAAUUCAUUGCAUGUUUACAAAAAUUCAAUAAUGAUCAAUUCUCUAGUUCACACAUUGUUCGUACACCAACAAACAGCUAGUUACCAGUGAAUAAUAUAACAUGUGUAUGUUUAUAAGUGUAAUUCUUCUCUUUUAUUCAAACUCUUCCCUUGCGGUUUAAACUCCAUUGACGAAAGUUCCAUUUCAGCCUUGUCCUUACCACAUCUGUAAAUAAUAGAAAGUGAGCAUACACAAGUCCAGUGAAAUAAAUUUCAACUUAAAAUACAAUGUUGGAAACUAAUUAAAUUCCCAUGCUAUCACCUCCCAUCGGUCCACCACCUAUUCUCUCAUUUGUUCCCCUAUCUACAGUCACUAUAACCUACAACCCCUCCAAAUUUCCACACUUCCCUUUAUUGUUCCCAUUCCCAACUGCCUAAACCAUUUCCAGUCCCCAGAUGUACCUACCCGCCUUCUUCAGCCUAUGUCCAACUCAGAUUCCAGCAACCAUACUCUAGAAACUGCGUAAGAAAUUCUAACUUAAUUUUUAUGCAUUUACAAACUCUUUUUUCAAUCAAUAUCCCUACACCACAACUCAAAGUUCCUCCCAUAACUAAACUACAGACACACAUUCCAACAUUCCGCGCCCUCAACAGUAUGCCACCAAUACAAUUUCAACCAUCCCCUGGCCUUACACAUACAUACAGUCGCCAAUAUUGGCCUCUCAAAACACCAUUUAAAGUAACAUCAGCCCUCUUUUAGCCACACAUGUACGCAAUCACUUUCAUUGGCCAUCAUGCUCGCACAACACAUCCUUAAAACGACCAUCCUAUGGCCACACACACAUACAAGCAACCCUAUAAGCCACCACUCACACACAAUCCUUCCAGAACAUACUUUACUGCAUGUAUAUACCUAUGUCGACCAACANNN
rnacentral:lncRNA from 1 species